UACGUAUAGUGCAAGCGUUAUCCGGAUUUACUGGGUGUAAAGGGAGCGCAGGCGGCGCGUUAAGCCUGGUGUGAAAGCCCGCGGCCCAACCGCGGGACUGCAUUGGGAACUGGCGCGCUGGAGUGCCGGAGGGGUAGGCGGAAUUCCUAGUGUAGCGGUGAAAUGCGUAGAUAUUAGGAGGAACGCCAGUGGCGAAGGCGGCCUACUGGACGGUGACUGACGCUGAGGCUCGAAAGCGUGGGGAGCAAACAGG
rnacentral:rRNA from 1 species